UGCAGCUGAGCGGUAGAGAUCUUUCGGGAUCUUGAGAGCGGCGUACGGGUGCGGAACACGUGUGCAACCUGGCUUUAUCACGGGGAUAGCCUUUCGAAAGGAAGAUUAAUACCCCAUAAUAUAUUGAUUGGCAUCAAUUGAUAUUGAAAACUCCGGUGGAUAAAGAUGGGCACGCGCAAGAUUAGAUAGUUGGUGAGGUAACGGCUCACCAAGUCAAUGAUCUUUAGGGGGCCUGAAAGGGUGAUCCCCCACACUGGUACUGAGACACGGACCAGACUCCUACUGGAGGCAGCAGUGAGGAAUAUUGGACAAUGGGUUAGCGCCUGAUCCAGCCCUCCCGCGUGAAGGACGACUGCCCUAUGGGUUGUAAACUUCUUUUGUACAGGGAUAAACCUUUCCACGUGUGGAAAGCUGAAGGUACUGUACCAAUAAGCACCGGCUAACUCCGUGCCAGCAGCCGCGGUAAUACGGAGGGUGCAAGCGUUAUCCGGAUUUAUUGGGUUUAAAGGGUCCGUAGGCGGAUCUGUAAGUCAGUGGUGAAAUCUCACAGCUUAACUGUGAAACUGCCAUUGAUACUGCAGGUCUUGAGUAAAGUAGAAGUGGCUGGAAUAAGUAGUGUAGCGGUGAAAUGCAUACAUAUUACUUACAACACCAAUUGCGAAGCAGGUCACUAUGUCUUAACUGACGCUGAUGGACGAAAGCGUGGGGAGCGAACAGGAUUAUAUACCCUGGUAGUCCACGCUGUAAACGAUGCUACUCGUUUUUGGGUUUUCGGAUUC
rnacentral:rRNA from 1 species